CCCUUAGAUGUUCUGGGCCACACGCGCGCUACACUGAUGCAUUCAACGAGUCUAAAACCUGCUCUGAUAGGGGUGGGUAAUCUUUUGAAUGUGCAUCGUGAUUGGGAUAGAUGAUUGCAAUUUUUCAUCUUCAACGAGGAAUGCCUAGUAAACGCAAGUCAUCAGCUUGCAUUGAUUACGUCCCUGCCCUUUGUACACACCGCCCGUCGCUCCUACCGAUUGAAUGAUCCGAUGAAUAUCAUGGAUUGAGGAUGCAAGUAGGUUCGCCUAUCUUCAUCUUCGAGAAGUGAAGUAAAUCUUAUCAUUUAGAGGAAGGAGAAGUCGUAACA
rnacentral:rRNA from 1 species